rnacentral:rRNA from 1 species
UCGAGGGGCAGCACAAAGAUAGUUUACUAUUUUGGUGGCGACCGNCGCACGGGUGAGUAACGCGUAUGCAACCUACCUUAUACAGGAGUAUAGCCCGAAGAAAUUCGGAUUAAUCCUCCAUAGUAUUUUCUGAUGGCAUCAUUUGGAAAAUUAAAGCUUCGGCGGUAUAAGAUGGGCAUGCGUCCUAUUAGCUAGAUGGUAAGGUAACGGCUUACCAUGGCAACGAUAGGUAGGGGGCCUGAGAGGGUGAUCCCCCACACUGGUACUGAGACACGGACCAGACUCCUACGGGAGGCAGCAGUGAGGAAUAUUGGGCAAUGGAGGCAACUCUGACCCAGCCAUGCCGCGUGCAGGAAGAAUGCCCUAUGGGUUGUAAACUGCUUUUAUUUAGGAAUAAACCCUUCUACGUGUAGAAGGCUGAAUGUACUAAACGAAUAAGCACCGGCUAACUCCGUGCCAGCAGCCGCGGUAAUACGGAGGGUGCAAGCGUUAUCCGGAAUCAUUGGGUUUAAAGGGUCCGCAGGCGGACGUAUAAGUCAGUGGUGAAAUCCUGCAGCUUAACUGCAGAACUGCCAUUGAUACUGUACGUCUUGAAUUCGGUCGAAGUGGGCGGAAUGUGUAGUGUAGCGGUGAAAUGCAUAGAUAUUACACAGAACACCGAUAGCGAAGGCAGCUCACUAGGCCUGGAUUGACGCUCAGGGACGAAAGCGUGGGGAUCAAACAGGAUUAGAU